AAAGCAGGUCUGCAAUUGCACUGCUUCCAUUCAGUGGGAGUGGUGUCAUUAAUCCUGCUGAGAGUAAUCAGAUCAAUAUACAUUU